UACGUAGGGGGCAAGCGUUGUCCGGAUUUAUUGGGCGUAAAGAGCUCGUAGGUGGUUUGGUAAGUCGGACGUGAAAUCUCCAGGCUCAACCUGGAGGGGUCAUUCGAUACUGCCAUGACUAGAGGUCGGUAGGGGAGUGUGGAAUUCCUGGUGGAGCGGUGAAAUGCGCAGAUAUCAGGAGGAACACCCGUAGCGAAGGCGGCACUCUGGGCCGAUACUGACACUGAGGAGCGAAAGCGUGGGGAGCGAACAGG
rnacentral:rRNA from 1 species